GGAAAGGAUCACGCCGAAGGCCGCACUUCAUAGUCUCCGACGCACCUCCAAACCCUUUCUCCUGCUCUAGGCCCAGCGCCUUGGACGUGCACAGUAGAUCCCUCCCGGCUUCCCGGCUUCCCGUCUCGUCACCCUCUGCUCAGAACCUGAGGACGCAGCCAUGGAGCGGUCGGCCUUCAUGGAGCUGGAUGCUGGGAGCAGGCUGGUGAUGCAUCUCCGCGAGUGGCCAGCCCUGCUGGUCAGCAGCACGGGCUGGACAGAGGAUGAAGACUUCUCCAUCCUGCUGGCAGCUUUAGAAAGUAGAUGUGUAGCUGCGAGUUUGAACAACUUACUCUUGAUGGACACAACCUUCCUUCUCUUGUCUGUGUGAUAACAGGGUCGGUGGACCUGGGUGUCUGUCUGCACAUGUCCUCCAGUGGCCUGGACCUGCCCAUGAAGGUGGUGGACAUGUUCGGGUGCUGUUUGCCUGUGUGUGCCGUGAACUUCAAGUGUUUACAUGAGCUGGUGAAACAUGAAGAAAAUGGCCUGGUCUUUGAGGACUCAGAGGAACUGGCAGCUCUGCAGAUGCUUUUCUCAAACUUUCCUGAUCCUGCAGGCAAGCUAAACCAGUUUUGGAAGAACCUGCGGGAGUCGCAGCAGCUCCGAUGGGAUGAGAGCUGGGUGCAGACUGUGCUCCCUUUGGUUAUGGACAUACAACUCCUGGGCCAGAGGCUAAAACCCCGGGACCCCUGCUGUCCUUCCCGCAGCUUCUUCUCGGAGUCUCAGGGCAAACCCUUUUGAGCAGCGCCUCCCAGUGGCCAGAAGCUGAAAUGACGGCAGUGGUGCCGCCUGGUGAAUGAAUUGGUUCUGUGACCCGGGAA
rnacentral:lncRNA from 1 species